rnacentral:rRNA from 1 species
CGGAGGGGGCUAGCGUUAUUCGGAAUCAUUGGGCGUAAAGGGCGCGUAGGCGGCGCGGUAAGUCAAAGGUGAAAUCCCUCGGCUCAACUGAGGAACUGCCUUUGAAACUGUCGUGCUUGAGUCCGGGAGGGGGUAGCGGAAUUCCCAGUGUAGCGGUGAAAUGCGUAGAUAUUGGGAGGAACACCAGUGGCGAAGGCGGCUACCUGGACCGGUACUGACGCUGAUGCGCGAAAGCGUGGGGAGCAAUCAGGAUUAGAUACCCUGGUAGUCCACGCUGUAAACGAUGGGUGCUCGGUGUCGCGGGUAUCGACCCCUGCGGUGCCUUAGCUAACGCGUUAAGCACCCCGCCUGGGGAGUACGGUCGCAAGGCUG